rnacentral:rRNA from 1 species
UACGUAGGUGGCAAGCGUUGUCCGGAUUUAUUGGGCGUAAAGAGCGCGCAGGCGGUUCGUUAAGUCCGAGGUGAAAUCUCCCGGCUCAACUGGGAGGGGUCUUCGGAUACUGGCGGACUUGAGGAGUGCAGAGGUGAGUGGAAUUCUCGGUGUAGUGGUGAAAUGCGUAGAUAUCGAGAGGAACACCAGCGGCGAAGGCGGCUCACUGGGCACCACCUGACGCUGAGGCGCGAAAGCUAGGGGAGCAAACGGG